rnacentral:tRNA from 1 species
GGUGGCUCAGUGGUAGAGUGCUUGCCAUUCAUGCAAGAAGCCCUGGGUUCGAUUCCUCAGCACCA